rnacentral:rRNA from 1 species
CAGCCGCCGCGGUAAAACGAAGGGGGCUAGCGUUGUUCGGAUUUACUGGGCGUAAAGCGCACGUAGGCGGAUCGAUCAGUCAGGGGUGAAAUCCCAGAGCUCAACUCUGGAACUGCCUUUGAUACUGUCGAUCUGGAGUAUGGAAGAGGUGAGUGGAAUUCCGAGUGUAGAGGUGAAAUUCGUAGAUAUUCGGAGGAACACCAGUGGCGAAGGCGGCUCACUGGUCCAUUACUGACGCUGAGGUGCGAAAGCGUGGGGAGCAAACAGGAUUAGAUACCCCCGUAGUCCCUGUCUCUUAUAC